rnacentral:rRNA from 1 species
AGUGAACGCUGGCGGUAGGCUUAACCCAUGCAAGUCGAACGGCAGCACAGUCAGAGCUUGCUCUCACGGGUGGCGAGCGGCGGACGAGUGCGGAAUACACCGGCAUCUACUUUUUCGUGGGCGAUAACGUAGGGAAACUUACGCUAAUACCGCAUACGACCUACGGGUGAAAGCAUGGGAUCUUUGGACCUUGCGCGAUUGAAUGAGCCGAUGUCGGAUUAGUUAGUUGGCGGGGUAAAGGCCCACCAAGGCGACGAUCCGUAGCUGGUCUGAGAGGAUGAUCAGCCGCACGGGAACGGAGACACGGUCCAGGCGCCUGCGGGAGGGAGCAGUGGGGAAUGGGGGACAAUGGGCGCGAGCCUUAUCCAGCCGGACCGCGUGUGUGAAAGAGACCUUCGGGGUGUAAAGCCGGUUUGUUGGGAAAGAAAAGCAGCAGGUUGAGACCCCGCUGUAGUGACGGUACUGAAUGAAGAAGCACCGGCUAACUACGUG